AACGAACGCUGGCGGCAGGCUUAACACAUGCAAGUCGAACGCGCCCUUCGGGGCGAGUGGCAGACGGGUGAGUAACGCGUGGGAACCUACCUUCUGGUACAGCAUAACUCAGGGAUACUGGAGCUAAUACCGUAUAAGCCCCUCGGGGGAAAGAUUUAUCGCCAAAGGAUGGGCCCGCGUCGGAUUAGCUAGUUGGUGGGGUAAUGGCCUACCAAGGCGACGAUCCGUAGCUGGUUUGAGAGGAUGAUCAGCAACACUGGGACUGUGAAACGGCCCAGACUCCUACGGGAGGCAGCAUUGUGGAAUAUUGGACAAUGGGGGGAACCCUGAUCCAGCCAUGCCGCGUGAGUGAUGAAGGCCUUAGGGUUGUAAAGCUCUUUCGCCGGUGAAGAUAAUGACGGUAACCGGAGAAGAAGCCCCGGCUAACUUCGUGCCAGCCGCCGCGGUAACAC
rnacentral:rRNA from 1 species